rnacentral:lncRNA from 1 species
GAUAAGGUGAAUGAAGUUGGGCAUCAUCAUGGUUACAUCAUUUCGACUCAUCUUGAGGUCAAACAAAUAAUUAUUUGUACAUCGUUUUAGGAUAUGUCAUCUUAUUUUUUGCUCCUAUUUUUCUAUUUUUUUAAAAAAAAAUUAUCUUAUUUUUUGAAAACCUUACAAGUAUGAUGGUGUCCCGUCCACGAAGAAGAUUUCAUCGUGAAAGACCUCAUGGUGAGAGUAUGGCAGUAAAAAGACUUCAAAAUAUAUCCGCAUUGCCGUUGAGCUCUUUCUAUCACAUCGGUAAAAAUUGAUAUUGACAUUGAACAGGGUUUAAUCAUGGUGCACUGAUAAGUGGAGGAGGUGAGAGUGAGGAAGCCCUUGCUGAGGUGAUCCGAUCCCAAUGGUUUUCUACCUUGAGAGCUCCGCGGUGCAGCGGAUCACAUCGUGGGACACGAGCACACGCGGUUGGUUACCAAGGCUAGCGGAUCCAAAUGGUUUUAUCGUGACAAGUAAAAAGGGUCGGGUGGCGUGUAUGACAGCGAUGGCGUCCGACAGGAUGCCGCACAGCCUCGUGGACCAACCGAAAGAGGACGCGUGUCGGUAGGAGGCAGCCGUUCGUCGCCCAUGGCCGGGGAGGUCUCUGUCGUGUAGCGUGGGUGCACGUGGCAGGCCGUGGGGGCAUUCGGGCACGCUGUCCCGGUCAACGUCUCCGCGGUUGGUGCCGGGUCCCGCUCGCCCUUCGUCUUCUUCUCGGUGAUGUCGGCCCACGCGGCACUCCCCGUUUUCAAGAUCUGGAGGGACUCAUCAGGAAGUCUCAAAGGGGGAUCUCAAAGGGUCCUUGGCUUGUUUAAGACUAGAUUCUCAUGAUUUUUACAUGAACGAAAAUUGCAUCACUACAAAAAUCACUUGAGCCAAUCUUUUGAGAGUUGAACUUUUUUUUUUAUGGUAG